rnacentral:rRNA from 1 species
GGGCCCGCACAAGCAGUGGAGUAUGUGGUUUAAUUCGAAGCAACGCGAAAACCUUACCUGGUCUUGACAUCGAGUGACAAACGUGGAAACACGUCUCCCUUCGGGGCACGAAGACAGGUGGUGCAUGGUUGUCGUCAGCUCGUGUCGUGAGAUGUUGGGUUAAGUCCCGCAACGAGCGCAACCCCUUACGGUCGGUUGCUACAUUUAGUUGAGCACUCCGGCCGGACUGCCGUUGACAAAACGGNGGAAGGUGGGGACGACGUCAAAUCAUCAUGCCCUUUAUGAUCAGGGCUACACACGUACUACAAUGGCAUCUAACAAUGAGGAGCAAUACAGCGAUGUGGAGCAAAUCUCCAAACGAUGCCUCAGUUCGGAUCGCAGGCUGCAACCCGCCUGCGUGAAGUCGGAAUUGCUAGUAAUCGCGAAUCAGCAUGUCG